rnacentral:rRNA from 1 species
GCCAUGUGGUUUAAUUGGAUACGAAACCUUGAACCUUACCUAGAUUUGACAUGUAACUGCAAGCCUUUUAGAAACAAAGGAAUCCUUCGAGGGUGUUACACAGCUGCUGCAUGGUUGUCGUCAGUUCGUGUCGUGAGGCGUCGGCUUAAGUGCCGUAACGAACGCAACCCCUGUGCUAUGUUAAAUAUCCAUAGCAGACUGCCUUGGAUUUUUCCACGGAGGAAGGAGGGGAUGACGUCAAAUCAGCAUGGCGCUUAUAUCUAGGGCUACACACAUGGCGUAAUGGAUGGGACAACGGGAUGCCAAGGCGCGAGCCGGAGCUAAUCCUUAUAAACCCAUCCUCAGUUCGGAUUGCAGGCUGCAAUUCGCCUGCAUGAAGGGGAGUUGAUAGUAAUCGCGGAUCAGCAACACCGCGGUGAAUACGUUCUCGUUUCUU